rnacentral:rRNA from 1 species
CCAGCCGCCGCGGUAAUACGUAGGGUGCAAGCGUUGUCCGGAAUUAUUGGGCGUAAAGAGCUCGUAGGCGGUUUGUCGCGUCUGCUGUGAAAACUCGGGGCUUAACUCCGGGCCUGCAGUGGGUACGGGCAGACUAGAGUGCGGUAGGGGAGACUGGAAUUCCUGGUGUAGCGGUGAAAUGCGCAGAUAUCAGGAGGAACACCGGUGGCGAAGGCGGGUCUCUGGGCCGUAACUGACGCUGAGGAGCGAAAGCGUGGGGAGCGAACAGGAUUAGAUACCCUGGUAGUCCACGCCGUAAACGUUGGGCGCUAGGUGUGGGGUCCGAUUCCACGGGUUCCGUGCCGCAGCAAACGCAUUAAGCGCCCCGCCUGGGGAGUACGGCCGCAAGGCUAAAACUUAAGGGAAUUGGCGGGGGAC